GGAAUCUUCGGCAAUGGACGAAAGUCUGACCGAGCAACGCCGCGUGAGUGAAGAAGGGUUUCGGCUCGUAAAGCUCUGUUGUUAAAGAAGAACACGUAUGAGAGUAACUGUUCAUACGUUGACGGUAUUUAACCAGAAAGUCACGGCUAACUACGUGCCAG
rnacentral:rRNA from 1 species